AACGAACGUUAGCGGCGCGCUUAACACAUGCAAGUCGAACGAGAAAGGGCUUCGGCCCCGGUACAGUGGCGCACGGAUGAGUAACACGUAGGUAACCUGCCCUUGAAUGGUGGAUAACAUUCCGAAAAAAGUGCUAAUACAGCAUAAGACCACGGUUCCAUCAAGGAACAGGGGUCAAAGCGGGCCUCUUCAUGAAAGCUCGCGCUUGGGGAUGGGCCUGCGGCGCAUCAGCUAGUUGGUGAGGUAAUGGCUCACCAAGGCUAAGACGCGUAGCUGGUCUGAGAGGAUGAUCAGCCACACUGGAACUGAGACACGGUCCAGACUCCUACGGAGGCAGCAGUGGGGAAUUUGCGCAAUGGGCGAAAGCCUGACGCAGCGACGCCGCGUGGGUGAUGAAGGCCCUCGGGUUGUAAAGCCCUGGUGGGGAGGGAUGAAUAAGGUAUGGCUAAUACCUAUACUGAUGACAGUACCUCCUUAGCAAGCACCGG
rnacentral:rRNA from 1 species